rnacentral:lncRNA from 1 species
AAUUGAUUCUCGCGUCUGUUCUCCUUCCCUCUCGGCCAUGGAGCGGCAAUCAGCAGCAGUCAUGGAGAGGCCAUCUGCAUCUGCAUCCACGGCUACUUAUUAGACAUCUGCAUCUGCAUCCAUGGCUACUUAUUGGACAUCUGCAUCUGCAUCCAUGGCUACUUAUUACACAUCUGCAUCUGCAUCCAUGGCUACUUAUUACACAUCUGCAGCUGCAUCCAUGGCUACUUAUUAGGCAUCUGCAUCCAUGGCUACUUAUUAGACAUCUGCAUCGCUUGGGUAAAUUUCAAACAAACAGAUGGAAUACAAUAGGGUAUU